rnacentral:rRNA from 2 species
GUGGGGAAUUUUGGACAAUGGGCGAAAGCCUGAUCCAGCAAUGCCGCGUGCAGGAUGAAGGCCUUCGGGUUGUAAACUGCUUUUGUACGGAACGAAAAAGCUCCUUCUAAUACAGGGGGCCCAUGACGGUACCGUAAGAAUAAGCACCGGCUAACUACGUGCCAGCAGCCGCGGUAAUACGUAGGGUGCGAGCGUUAAUCGGAAUUACUGGGCGUAAAGCGUGCGCAGGCGGUUAUGUAAGACAGAUGUGAAAUCCCCGGGCUCAACCUGGGAACUGCAUUUGUGACUGCAUGGCUAGAGUACGGUAGAGGGGGAUGGAAUUCCGCGUGUAGCAGUGAAAUGCGUAGAUAUGCGGAGGAACACCGAUGGCGAAGGCAAUCCCCUGGACCUGUACUGACGCUCAUGCACGAAAGCGUGGGGAGCAAACAGGAUUAGAAACCCCAGUAGUCC